GUGUUGCAGGCUCACAUGGGAUUUCCUUUUUGCCUUUCCUAUGUUGCAGCCUAUGGAAAAGUGUUCCUGGUGCGCAAGGUUGGCGGCCAGGACCACGGAAAGCUGUACGCCAUGAAGGUCCUCAAGAAGGCGUCCAUCGUGCAGAAGCAGAAGACGCUAGAGCACACGCGCACGGAGCGGCAGGUCCUUGAAGCCAUCCGCCAGUCGCCAUUCCUGGUGACACUCCACUAUGCCUUCCAGACGGAUGCGAAGCUGCACCUCAUCCUUGACUAUGUCAGCGGCGGUGAGCUGUUCACGCACCUCUACCAAAGAGACCACUUCACGGAGUCCGAGGUCCGGAUCUACAUAGGAGAAAUCGUGCUGGCUCUUGAACACUUGCACAAGCUGGGGAUAAUCUACCGCGACAUCAAGCUGGAGAACAUCCUCCUCGACAGCCAAGGACACAUCGUCUUGACAGACUUCGGACUGAGCAAGGAGUUCCUUCCGCACGAGAAGGACCAGAGGGCAUACUCGUUCUGUGGCACCAUCGAGUACAUGGCACCUGAAGUGGUGCGCGGUGGGAGCACGGGCCACGACUUCAGCGUCGACUGGUGGAGCGUCGGGGUGCUCACGUACGAGUUGCUCACGGGAGCAUCACCCUUCACGGUCGAGGGCGAGCGCAACAACCAGGCUGAGAUCUCCAAGAUUGCGUCUCCUGAAAAACCUGAGGAAGAGGGGAGCUGUUCAACAGACGUGGUAAUUAGGAGGAUACUAAAAAGUCAGCCACCUAUACCGGACAGCAUCUCAGGUGACAUCAGGGACUUCAUCCAGAAGCUGUUAAUCAAGGACCCGAGGAAAAGGCUUGGCGGUGGGAUCGAUGAUGCCCUUGAAAUAAAGAAGCACAGGUUUUUCAAGGGCCUAGACUGGGAGGACCUCGCAACAAAAAGAAUUGCAGCGCCUUUUGUUCCUAAGAUUGCUGGCGAACUAGACGUGAGCAACUUUGCAGAAGAGUUCACUUCCAUGGUUCCUGCUGACUCGCCAGCUCUGGCGCCCGUCAGUGACGACAAAGUGUUCAAGGGUUACUCGUAUGUUGCUCCGUCUGUGCUGUUCAGCGACAACAUCCUCACCGACGAGCUGCUCGGUUGCCCCAGCGAGAGCCGGCCGAACAUAUCUCAGCUGCUUGCUGCCAAGUUCAAGAACUCUGCAUUCUUCCAAAACUAUGACCUCAUCGCACGAGAAGGCAUUUUGGGCGAUGGAAGCUACUCAGUCUGCAGGAAGUGCAUCAACAAGAAGACGGGCCUUCCUUAUGCUGUCAAAAUUGUGAGUCGCCGCAUUGACACCACCCAAGAAGUGCAGCUUCUCAAGAUGUGCCAGGGACACACCAACGUUGUGCAGUUUGUGGAGGCCUUCCAGGAUGAGGCACACACGUACAUCAUUCUCGAGCUGCUGACGGGCGGGGAGCUCCUCGAGAGGAUACGCAGGCGGGCACGCUUUACGGAAAGCGAGGCGUGCCGCAUCUUCCGCCGCCUCGUCUCCGCCGUGCACUUCAUGCACUCUCGGGGCGUCGUGCAUCGAGACCUCAAGCCAGAGAAUCUGCUGUUCACGGACAGCUCAGAGAAUGCCACCAUCAAGGUGGUGGAUUUUGGCUUUGCGCGGUUGAAACCUCAGGACAAUCAGCUCAUGAAGACACCCUGCUUUACGCUAAACUAUGCCGCUCCAGAAGUCUUGAGGCAGGCCAGCCCGGGCAACACUGCUGCGGGCUACAGCGAGUCCUGUGAUCUUUGGAGCCUUGGCGUCAUUCUGUACACAAUGCUGUCCGGGCGGGCACCUUUUCAAACGCCGAGUCGCAACGCCAGCGCCGCCGCGCUGAUGCAGCGCAUCCGCGAAGGCGAGUUCAGCUUCAAUGGCCCCCAGUGGGAGCCUGUCUCAGACCAAGCCAAGGACGUCAUCCGGGGCCUGCUCACCGUCGAAGCGCCACGCCGUCUGACCAUGGCCGAGCUCCGUGCGCAUCCGUGGGUGCACUCUCGAAGCAGCCAUUGGUCUGCCUCCCUCAUGACUCCAGACAUCCUCAGCUCGUCGUCCUCGCCGCGUGCUGCUGAAUCGGCCGUGCGGGCAACCUUCGACGCUUUCCACCUCGCCACCCGCGGCGGCUUCCGCUUGCUUGACGUCUCUGCGGCUCCCUUGGCUCAGCGCCGGAGGCUAAAGCGCAACUCUGCAGACGUGCGAAGCGACUCUUCCGUCUCGACAAGCAGUGGGAGCUCCUUCACGUCUACGUCGUCUUCAUCCUCGUCUGCGUCGCUCAGCUCAGCUGCAGCAGCUUCAACGCGUUCGCUGGGCUUUGUGCCAGCACGCGAGGACUCAACUCGGAGUGUGGACAGCGUCUUUACGUAUCCGGAGACCAAGGUUGCGGCCUACCUUUCCACACUUCCUGAUGUGGUGGAGCGUCCCAGUGAGUCCGGUAUCACCGAUGACAUUGAGACCAUGACCGUAGACCUCGCCACCACUGGUCUGGCCGCGCCCUUGGCCAAGUCCGGCAAGCUGGAAACUCCCACUUUGCCGGCCACGGUGGUUACAGACUUGCCAGAAAACUCGCAAGGCACAGAAGUGAAGGUUGCUGCAUUCUCGUUGCCAACGAUACCAGAGGCAGCUGAAACAUCCGACGACAGCCGAGCUGAGAUCAUGGCCAGCACAGAACAAGCACUGCUUGAUGCCGAAGGGCCCAUUACACGCUCUCGGAGGAAGAGGCCUUCACCGCAAGAUAGCAUGACAGUCCCAACAAGUUUUUCAGAUGACGGGUCAGAAAAGAGUGAACCAAACACUAAGAAGUCAAAAAGGCGGUCGCCACAGAAGUCUCCAAGCCGGAAACAACGGUAGCACAGGCUUAGAAACCUAGCCAUUUUAACAUUGUUCACACAUUCAUAGCUUCAGUGGCAGUGGGGUGUAGUGUAAUAGUGCGCUUGGCUCCAUCUUUUUCAUUGUAAAUUCCAUCCAAGUCAUCGCAUUGAUGUUUUAAUAAAAUGGGAGCACAUAAAAUGAAGCUAUAGGGUAUUUAUAAUAAAGGCAUUGAAUGUGUUCCCUUCGAUGAUGUCAACCAUGUUGAACUCAUGUUUCAAAGUGGUUUUUAUUAAGUUAUUUCCUUGCAACAGUGGUAGUGCUUAUCUGGUGGCUGCUGGAAUGUGUCUAGAAAGUUUGGCGCGAAGGCAUGCUGCAAAAGAAUUGCAAUCGCUGGAACGACUGGACUGCAGAAUUUGCAGCAGGAUUGCAAAUGGAACCGACGGGUUGUCACUGAGAUGGUCAUUUUUAAUAUUUCGAAUGUGCUGAAGGAGUGAACGAACUUUUGCCGGAUUCUGACGUCUUGUCAUUGGUGAUUGCAACUGUGGUGCCGAGCAAGCCUGUGUUGUCACGCGCAAGUUUCCAUGUCUUUCUGAAGCGGAUACAGUACAGCAACGAUGUGAAAGACUACUGCAUUUGCUGCAAACA
rnacentral:misc_RNA from 1 species